GGGGAAUAUUGCACAAUGGGGGAAACCCUGAUGCAGCGACGCCGCGUGGAGGAAGAAGGUCUUCGGAUUGUAAACUCCUGUUGUUGGGGAAGAUAAUGACGGUACCCAACAAGGAAGUGACGGCUAACUACGUGCCAGCAGCCGCGGUAAAACGUAGGUCACAAGCGUUGUCCGGAAUUACUGGGUGUAAAGGGAGCGCAGGCGGGAAGACAAGUUGGAAGUGAAAUCUAUGGGCUCAACCCAUAAACUGCUUUCAAAACUGUUUUUCUUGAGUAGUGCAGAGGUAGGCGGAAUUCCCGGUGUAGCGGUGGAAUGCGUAGAUAUCGGGAGGAACACCAGUGGCGAAGGCGGCCUACUGGGCACCAACUGACGCUGAGGCUCGAAAGUGUGGGUAGCAAACAGGAUUAGAUACCCUGGUAGUCCACACCGUAAACGAUGAUUACUAGGUGUUGGAGGAUUGACCCCUUCAGUGCCGCAGUUAACACAAUAAGUAAUCCACCUGGGGAGUACGACCGCAAGGUUGAAACUCAAAGGAAUUGACGGGGGCCCGCACAAGCAGUGGAGUAUGUGGUUUAAUUCGACGCAACGCGAAGAACCUUACCAAGUCUUGACAUCCCUUGACAGACAUAGAAAUAUGUUUUCUCUUCGGAGCAAGGAGACAGGUGGUGCAUGGUUGUCGUCAGCUCGUGUCGUGAGAUGUUGGGUUAAGUCCCGCAACGAGCGCAACCCUUAUGGUCAGUUACUACGCAAGAGGACUCUGGCCAGACUGCUGUUGACAAAACGGAGGAAGGUGGGGAUGACGUCAAAUCAUCAUGCCCCUUAUGAUUUGGGCUACACACGUGCUACAAUGGCGUAAACAAAGGGAAGCGAACCCGCGAGGGUGGGCAAAUCCCAAAAAUAACGUCCCAGUUCGGACUGUAGUCUGCAACCCGACUACACGAAGCUGGAAUCGCUAGUAAUCGCGGAUCAGAAUGCCGCGGUGAAUACGUUCCCG
rnacentral:rRNA from 1 species